rnacentral:rRNA from 1 species
GCAGGGAAUCUUGCGCAAUGGGCGAAAGCCUGACGCAGCGACGCCGCGUGGGGGAUGAAGGCCUUUGGGUUGUAAACCCCUUUUCCCGGGGAAGAUGAUGACGGUACCCGGGGAAUAAGCCUCGGCUAACUACGUGCCAGCAGCCGCGGUAAAACGUGGGAGGCAAGCGUUGUCCGGAUUUAUUGGGCGUAAAGGGCGUGUAGGCGGCAGGGGAAGUCCCUGGUGAAAUCCUCCCGCUCAACGGGAGGGGGUCCAGGGAAACUCCCCAGCUAGAGGGGAGGAGAGGGGGGUGGAAUUCCCGGCGUAGCGGUGAUAUGCGUAGAGCUCGGGAGGAACACCAGUGGCGAAGGCGGCCCCCUGGCCUCUACCUGACGCUGAGGCGCGAAAGCGUGGGUAGCAAACCGG